ensembl:snRNA U2 U2 spliceosomal RNA
AUAAAAGGCCUUUUGGCUAAGAUCAAGUGUAGUAUCUGUUCUUAUCAGUUUAAUAUUUGUGAUUCUGAAACAGAAAAACAAAACAAAUUUAUCAAUGAACUGUGCUACAUAAACCAUUUCACAUUUU